AUUGAACGCUGGCGGCAUGCCUUACACAUGCAAGUCGAACGGUAACAGGUCUUCGGAUGCUGACGAGUGGCGAACGGGUGAGUAAUACAUCGGAACGUGCCUAGUAGUGGGGGAUAACUACUCGAAAGAGUGGCUAAUACCGCAUGAGAUCUACGGAUGAAAGAAGGGGAUCGCAAGACCUUGUGCUACUAGAGCGGCCGAUGGCAGAUUAGGUAGUUGGUGGGAUAAAAGCUUACCAAGCCGACGAUCUGUAGCUGGUCUGAGAGGACGAUCAGCCACACUGGGACUGAGACACGGCCCAGACUCCUACGGGAGGCAGCAGUGGGGAAUUUUGGACAAUGGGCGAAAGCCUGAUCCAGCAAUGCCGCGUGCAGGUUGAAGGCCUUCGGGUUGUAAACUGCUUUUGUACGGAACGAAAAGCCCCGGGUUAAUACCCUGGGGUCAUGACGGUACCGUAAGAAUAAGCACCGGCUAACUACGUGCCAGCCGCCGCAGUAA
rnacentral:rRNA from 1 species